rnacentral:rRNA from 1 species
AGAGUUUGAUCAUGGCUCAGGAUGAACGCUUGCGGCAGGCUUAACACAUGCAAGUCGAGGGGUAACAAGGGAGCUUGCUCCCGCUGACGACCGGCGCACGGGUGCGUAACACGUAUGCAACCUACCUUAUACAGAGGGAUAGCCCAGAGAAAUUUGGAUUAAUACCUCAUAGUAUUAUAGAUUCGCAUGAAUUUAUAAUUAAAACUCCGGUGGUAUAAGAUGGGCAUGCGUCCCAUUAGUUAGUUGGUAAGGUAACGGCUUACCAAGACGUCGAUGGGUAGGGGUUCUGAGAGGAUGAUCCCCCACACUGGUACUGAGACACGGACCAGACUCCUACGGGAGGCAGCAGUGAGGAAUAUUGGUCAAUGGACGCAAGUCUGAACCAGCCAUGCCGCGUGCAGGAAGACGGCCCUAUGGGUUGUAAACUGCUUUUAUACAGGAAUAAUAUUAGUUACGCGUAAUUGAUUGAAGGUACUGUAUGAAUAAGGACCGGCUAACUCCGUGCCAGCAGCCGCGGUAAUACGGAGGGUCCGAGCGUUAUCCGGAUUCAUUGGGUUUAAAGGGUGCGUAGGCGGCCUCGUAAGUCAGUAGUGAAAUCCAUAGGCUUAACCUAUGACGUGCUAUUGAAACUGCGGAGCUAGAAUUCUGAUGGAGUGAGCGGAAUGUGUUGUGUAGCGGUGAAAUGCUUAUAUAUAACACAGAACACCGAUCGCGAAGGCAGCUCACUAAGGAGCAAUUGACGCUAAUGCACGAAAGCGUGGGGAGCGAACAGGAUUAGAUACCCUGCUAGUCCACGCCGAAAACGAUGAUAACUGGUUGUCGGCGAUACGCAGUCGGCGGCUGAGCGAAAGUAUUAAGUUAUCCACCUGGGGAGUACGAUCGCAAGGUUGACACUCAAGAGGAUUGGACGGGGGCCCGCACAAGCUGGUGGAGCAUGUGGUUUAAUUUCGAUGAUACGCGAAGAACCUUCACCUGCGCUCAACGUAUGAAGCUGUUACAGAUGACUGAUUGUUCUCGACGCCUAUACGACGGUGCUGCAUGGUUGUCGUCAGCUCUGCGUGGAGGAGUUCGGGUUAGGUCCCAUACGAGCCACCCUAGUUCUU